ACUGUGGCCCUGAGGUGCAAAACACAACGGCAAAUAAAAAAAUACAACACUAAAGGGAAAAACACAACCGCAAAUCUUAAAAAUGCAACGGCAACAGAGAAAACACAACACAAAAAGAGAAAACACAACAGCAAAUCAGAAAACACAAUGACUUUAACCAUUGUAUUUUCUCUUCUUGUGUUACGUUUUCUUAUUUGCUGUUGUGUUUUGCACCUCAGGGCCACCGUA